rnacentral:rRNA from 1 species
GACGAACGCUGGCGGCGGGCUUAACACAUGCAAGUCGAACGGUGAAGCUCAACCUUGCUGUAGUGUCACAGUGGCGAAGGGGUGAAUAACACAGGAGCAACCUUGCCCGGACGCGGUAAUAACCGGUGAAAACGGCUACUAAUGCAGAAGACGAGAAGGAGCCGCAGGGGCACCUUCUGGAAUGUUGUUCGGUUGUGGAUGGUCUCGCGGCCUAUGAGCUUGUUGGUGAGGGAAUGGCUAACCAAGGCGUCGACGGGUCGCCGGCCUGAGAGGGCGACCGGCGACACUGGGACUGAGACACGGACCAGAGUCGUACGGGAGGCAGCAGUGGGGAAUCUUGCACAAUGAGCGAGAGCGUGAUGAAGAGAUGCCGGGUGAGGAAUGACGGCCUUGGUGUUGUAAACCUCAUUAAGCAGGGAAGAAGCGAAAGUGACGUUACCUGCAGAAGAAGCACCGGCUAACUACGUG